GGUUAUUUUUGUGUUUUUUGGCCUUCUUUUAUUUUAGUACCUGGUUGAAGGAGGCACAAAGCUCUUACGGUGUUGUUGUGGACUCAAAAAAAAAGGGAAUUGUGGAUGCAAAUAAGGUGUUUUGAAGUCUAAUACGGUGCAUUGUAAGGAAAAUAAAACAGGAAAAAGAGUCAAACGCCAA